UGGGCAAUCUGCCCUUCACUCUGGGACAAGCCCUGGAAACGGGGUCUAAUACCGGAUAACACUCUGUCCCGCAUGGGACGGGGUUAAAAGCUCCGGCGGUGAAGGAUGAGCCCGCGGCCUAUCAGCUAGUUGGUGUGGGUAAUGGCCCACCAAGGCGACGACGGGUAGCCGGCCUGAGAGGGUGACCGGCCACACUGGGACUGAGACACGGCCCAGACUCCUACGGGAGGCAG
rnacentral:rRNA from 1 species